AUGAGGCAUUUUUGAAUAAGUCAGAAGAAUGGAUAAGAAAGAUGCUUCAUCUUAGGAAACAGUUAUUAUCGCUGACUAAUCAGUGUUUUGAUAUUGAAGAAGAAGUAUCAAAAUAUCAAGAAUAUACUAAUGAGUUACAAGAAACUCUGCCUCAGAAAAUGUUUACAGCUUCCAGUGGAAUCAAACAUACCAUGACCCCAAUUUAUCCAAGUUCUAACACAUUAGUAGAAAUGACUCUUGGGUAAGAAACUCAUCAUUUGGAAACUGUAGUGUUUCCAUUUGCUUUCAUUGCAGUUUGUGCUUUUGCUCUUACAUUUUGAAAUUUUUUAUGUUUGUUGUAAUACAAUGUUUAAUAAGGUUAUCUAUUGACCAGUUAAAAGAAAAUAAAACAUAAACAUCAUUCUAAAACAUUUGCAUACUGUUUUUGAGCAAAGGUGCUUGUUUAUUUUAUUAGUAUGAAGAAAUUAAAGGAAGAGAUGGAAGGGGUGGUUAAAGAACUUGCUGAAAAUAACCACAUUUUAGAAAGACGGAGUUUCGCUGUUGCCCAGGCUGGAGUCCAAUGGCGUGAUCUCAGCUCACUGUAAC
rnacentral:lncRNA from 1 species